UACGAAGGGGGCUAGCGUUGCUCGGAAUCACUGGGCGUAAAGCGCACGUAGGCGGACUCUUAAGUCGGUGGUGAAAUCCUGGAGCUCAACUCCAGAACUGCCUUCGAUACUGAGAGUCUUGAGUCCGGGAGAGGUGAGUGGAACUGCGAGUGUAGAGGUGAAAUUCGUGGAUAUUCGGAAGAACACCAGUGGCGAAGGCGGCUCACUGGACGACUGUUGACGCUGAGGUGCGAAAGCGUGGGGAGCAAACAGG
rnacentral:rRNA from 1 species